UACGGAGGGAGCUAGCGUUGUUCGGAAUUACUGGGCGUAAAGCGCACGUAGGCGGCUUUGUAAGUUAGAGGUGAAAGCCCGGGGCUCAACUCCGGAACUGCCUUUAAGACUGCAUCGCUUGAAUCCAGGAGAGGUGAGUGGAAUUCCGAGUUGUAGAGGUGAAAUUCGAUAGAUAUUCGGAAGAACACCAGUGGCGAAGGCGGCUCACUGGACUGGUAUUGACGCUGAGGUGCGAAAGCGUGGGGAGCAAACAGGG
rnacentral:rRNA from 1 species